UACGUAGGGAGCGAGCGUUGUCCGGAUUCAUUGGGCGUAAAGAGCUCGUAGGCGGCUUGAUAAGUCGGAUGUGAAACCUCCAGGCUCAACCUGGAGUCGCCAUCCGAUACUGUCAUGGCUAGAGUCCGGUAGGGGCCCACGGAAUUCCUGGUGUAGCGGUGAAAUGCGCAGAUAUCAGGAGGAACACCGGUGGUGUAAACGGCUUUCUGGACCAUAACUGACGCUGAGGCACGAAAGCGUGGGUAGCAAACAGG
rnacentral:rRNA from 1 species